GAGGCCCUGGUGUUUAUUCCCAGAGCUUCCUGAGCCAUAGAAAAUUCAUUGCAUUUUAUUCACGUAUUUGUACCACGUGAGGCUUGUGUUUUCAGAAAAACAAGUGUGGCUGGUCACUUUGAGUGUCUAAUUUUGGUGUUUAACAGUCAUGAGACACGGUAAAGAGGAAAAACAGCAAGAACCAUCUGUGUUCUAAAGGUCUUAAAAAAUUCUCUUCCUGAAUAUUUUCAAUUAAUUUUGGCCUAUCAGCUCUGACUCUUCUAAGGAUCUAUACUCCAUCCACAGAAAAAGAAGCCCCAAGCUUCAGUUCCCAAGGUGGCACGUCUUUCCCAUUGCCCUUGACAACGAGGGCCAGCUCUUCCUCUUCUCCAGUCUAGCACGGAGCUGCUCAAAGAAAAAUGAAGAUCCUGAGGCAUCGUUAACACAGAGAUCCCAAGUCUCCAUAACAGGGAGGAGACAGAACACUUAAGGGGUUUGAUGAUCGGGUUCCAACAUAUGGCAUAUAGCAGUCAAUUUUCAGGCUUACAAAUAAGUGGUUUUCCAGGAGGCUUAAUAGUCUGCUCAACUCAACUUUAGAAAUUUCAGCCUCUGAGACUGAA
rnacentral:lncRNA from 2 species